rnacentral:rRNA from 1 species
CAAAGGAGCGAUCCGGUGACGGAUGGGCAUGCGCCGCAUUAGUUAGUUGGCGGUGUAACGGACCACCAAGACGACGAUGCGUAGGGGUUCUGAGAGGAAGGUCCCCCACACUGGUACUGAGACACGGACCAGACUCCUACGGGAGGCAGCAGUGAGGAAUAUUGGUCAAUGGGCGAGAGCCUGAACCAGCCAAGUCGCGUGAGGGAAGACGGUCCUAUGGAUUGUAAACCUCUUUUGCCGGGGAGCAAAAAGCGGUACGCGUACCGCAUCGAGAGUACCCGGAGAAAAAGCAUCGGCUAACUCCGUGCCAGCAGCCGCGGUAAUACGGAGGAUGCGAGCGUUAUCCGGAUUUAUUGGGUUUAAAGGGUGCGCAGGCGGCGAGUUAAGUCAGCGGUAAAAUUUCGGGGCUCAACCCCGACAAGCCGUUGAAACUGGCUUGCUAGAGUGGGCGAGAAGUAUGCGGAAUGCGUGGUGUAGCGGUGAAAUGCAUAGAUAUCACGCAGAACUCCGAUUGCGAAGGCAGCAUACCGGCGCCCAACUGACGCUCAGGCACGAAAGCGUGGGUAUCGAACAGGAUUAGAUACCCUGGUAGUCCACGCAGUAAACGAUGAGCACUAAUUGUCCGGUCCGAAUGAGGGCUGG